CUCAAUCAUGGACAUGCUUACUGACAGUUGUAGCUGCUUCGCGCUAUAGGUACGUGUAGUCGGGCUGUCUUCAUUCAGGCAUCUGUGGAGAAAAAUGCUGCCCCACAUCUCAAGAACUAAGUCCAGGACAGACCUCUUCAGAUCUGCCUAUCUGCUAGAAGUUGUUAAGUCAGCCAAGCUGAAGAAGCAAGAGCAGCAUGUCCUGUUUGUUCAGAGUGAGCGGUCUGUCUACCAGAAGACGGUCUCUGACUGCAAGAUCACCUGUCAACACCUGCAGUUGUCUCUGGGGGGCCCUACUGAACCAGCAAGCAAAGACGUCAGGAUUUACUACAGCUUUGAUUUUGCUCAACAACUUCAAUGUUCUGGAGCCUGGUGUUGUUGUCCCUGAGGAGCGUUCGGACUCAGUCGGGUCAUGGUCAAACAUAUAUAUUCAACCGUUGUAAAGCUGGAGAGAGGUCUCUCCGUAGUAAAGAGAUGCUCUGCUUUUUU